GAUGAACGCUAGCGGCAGGCUUAAUACAUGCAAGUCGAGGGGCAGCAUGAUUGUAGCAAUACAAUUGAUGGCGACCGGCAAACGGGUGCGGAACACGUACACAACCUUCCAACAAGUGGGGGAUAACCCAGAGAAAUUUGGAUUAAUACCCCGUAACAUAGCGAUGUGGCAUCACAUUGCUAUUAUAGAUUUUUCGCUUGCUGAUUGGUGUGCGGCUGAUUAGAUAGUUGGCGGGGUAACUGCCCACCAAGUAUACGAUCAGGAGCUGAUGUGAGAGCAUGAGCAGCCAUGCGGGCACGACGACCCGGGCCCGACUCCUACGGGAGGCAGCAGUAAGGAAUAUUGGACAAUGGGCGCAAGUCUGAUCCACCCAUACCGCGUGAAGGAUUAAGGUCCUCUGGAUUGUAAACUUCUUUUAUAAGGGACAAAAAAAGGCUUUUCUAAGUCGUCUUACAGUACCUUAUGAAUAAGCACCGGCUAACUCCGUGCCAGCCGCCGCCGUAACAC
rnacentral:rRNA from 1 species